AGGGAACGAGGGGUCCGACCUAGCCUGAAAGCGAGCUCUGGGGCUUUCUCCUGUCGUACUGGCCACUACCUGAGUCUAGGUUGGGGCAACAGAACUACAGUUACGGAAGAAAAGUACACAUUAUUCCACUUCUUCCUUCCGCAACGCACCCUUUCCUGACCUUUCUACCCCCCUGAACCUGCCCAGCUGGAUGCGACGUCCCAGGGGCUUAUGGUCAAGCUAGCUGGUCAGUCUGGCUGAUCGUAGAUGCUUGCCAGAUGUCGAAACCGCUGAUAGCCCUAGCACUCAACCCACGGGAGGUCACAGGGACAAAGCAGAUAGGAAAAAGAGACUGAAAUGGAGCAGCCAGUGCAGCAGGAGGAGCACAGUUUUGAGACAGUCUGGACUGAGGCUCCUUAAAUGUUAAUUUGUAAAGAAAUCAUCACCAUGUACAUACAGUAGGACCUCUUGGACCAACAGCACCAACGGGACCAACAACACCAGCAGGACCCUGUGAGUUGAAAAAGAAAAACAUAACUGAUCAGCCAAGCCCAAAACUCUCCUCCCCAAGCCCCCAUAGUUCCCAAGUGUGGGGAGGUCA